rnacentral:rRNA from 1 species
ACUGGUACGCGACACGGACACGACUCCUACGGGAAGCAGCAGUGAGGAAUAUGGACAAUGGGGCGCAAGCCUGAUCCAGCCAUGCCGCGUGGCAGGAUGACGGUCUAUGGAUUGUAAACUGCUUUGAUACGAGGAAGAAACACUACUUCGUGAAGUAGCUUGACGGUAUGGUAAGAAAUAAGGAUCGGCUAACUCCGUGCCAGCAGCCGCGGUAAUACGGAGGAUCCAAGCGUUAUCCGGAAUCAUUGGGUUUAAAGGGUCCGUAGGCGGUUUAAUAAGUCAGUGGUGAAAGCCCAUCGCUCAACGGUGGAACGGCCAUUGAUACUGUUAAACUUGAAUUAUUAGGAAGUAACUAGAAUAUGUAGUGUAGCGGUGAAAUGCUUAGAGAUUACAUGGAAUACCAAUUGCGAAGGCAGGUUACUACUAAUGGAUUGACGCUGAUGGACGAAAGCGUGGGUAGCGAACAGGAUUAGAUACCCUGGUAGUCCACGCCGUAAACGAUGGAUACUAGCUGUUGGAAGCAAUUUCAGUGGCUAAGCGAAAGUGAUAAGUAUCCCACCUGGGGAGUACGUUCGCAAGAAUGAAACUCAAAGGAAUUGACGGGGGCCCGCACAAGCGGUGGAGCAUGUGGUUUAAUUCGAUGAUACGCGAGGAACCUUACCAAGGCUUAAAUGUAGAUUGACCGGUUUGGAAACAGAUCUUUCGCAAGACAAUUUACAAGGUGCUGCAUGGUUGUCGUCAGCUCGUGCCGUGAGGUGUCAGGUUAAGUCCUAUAACGAGCGCAACCCCUGUUGUUAGUUGCCAGCGAGUCAAGUCGGGAACUCUAACAAGACUGCCAGU